UACGUAGGUGACCAGCGUUGUCCGGAUUUACUGGGCGUAAAGAGCGCGCAGGCGGUCGUUCAAGUCGCGUGUGAAAGCCCCCGGCUCAACUGGGGAGGGUCACGCGAUACUGAUCGACUCGAAGGCAGGAGAGGGAAGUGGAAUUCCCGGUGUAGUGGUGAAAUGCGUAGAUAUCGGGAGGAACACCAGUGGCGAAGGCGGUGCUCUGGGCCUGUACUGACGCUGAGGAACGAAAGCGUGGGGAGCGAACAGG
rnacentral:rRNA from 1 species